UCGUAAGUUUUUACAAACGCAGACAGUGGAUGCCUUGGUGUAACCUACCGAAGAAGGACGUACAUGGUCGCGAUAGUCGUCGGGGAGCUGCCACGAAGCUUUGAUCCGACGGUGUCCGAAUGGGGAAACCCAGCCAGUUUUACUGGCUACGCCAGAGCCAAGAUGUCUUGCACAGUGUGCAUAAAACUGGAAUCUACAAAUCUACAAAUUUCAAAUCUGCAAAUAAAUAUACAAAUGAUUAAAUGAAUUAAAUCAUUUAAAAAUUAAAACAUUUAUUUGCUUAUUAUGAACUUGCUUAUUUGCUUAUUCCAGAGUUUGUGCCUGCUAUGCAGGACAUAUAACUCUGGUUGUGGAAACCACCUGAACUGAAACAUCUAAGUAAGGUGAGGAAAAGAAAUCAACGAGAUUGCCUAAGUAGCGGCGAGCGAAAUGGCAAGAGCCUAAACUCGCCUUGUGCGUUGCACAAGAACGAUAAUCUACAAAUUUCAAAUCUGCAAAUAAAUAUACAAAUGAUUAAAUGAAUUAAAUCAUUUAAAAAUUAAAACAUUUAUUUGUAAUUUGCUUAUUUGUUUAUUUGCUUAUUGUAGUUCUCGCGCAGCGCGCGAGGUGGGGGUUGCGGGACUCUAAUAUGGGAGUGAUUGAAGUAGCAGAAUGGCAUGGAAUUGCCAACCAUAGAUAGUGAAAGUCUAGUAUGCGAAAUUUCAAUCACCCCUAGGAGUAUCCCAAGUACCACGAAGCACGUGUCUUUGUGGGAAUCUAGGGGAACCAUCCUCUAAGGCUAAAUAUAGGUUGCAACCGAUAGUGAACUAGUACCGCGAGGGAAAGGUGAAAAGAUGGGCGAGACGCCCAGUGAAAUAGAACCUGAAACUGUUUGCGAACAAACCAACAGAGCUUGUGCGUAGCACAAGAAUUACAAAAUCUACAAAUCUGCAAAUCUACAAAUAAAUAUUCAAAUGAAUUAAUUCAUUUAAUGAUUAAACAAUUUGGAAUUUAUUUGCUUAUUUGAAUUUGCUUAUUUGUUUAUUGUAGUUCUCGCGCUGCGCGCGAGUGAUGUCGUGCCUAUUGAAGAAUGAACCGGCGAGUUGCCGUUUAGUACCAGUCUAACCCCAUUAUUGGGGGAAGGCGUAGCGAAAGCGAGUCUUAAAAGGCGAUCAGUACUAGGCGACAGACCCGAAACCGAGCGAUCUAACUAUGAGCAGGGUGAACUCCGACUAGCGUCGGAGGGAGGCCCGAACCCGUCUGGGUUGCAAUCCGGUGGGAUGACUUGUGGUUAGAGGUAAAAUGCCAAACGAGCUCGGAGAUAGCUGGUUCUCCCCGAAAGGUCUAUAGGGACCGUGCCCCGCAACAAUACACUGAUGGUAGAGCACUGAAUGGGUAGGAGAGCGCAAGCAAUUUUACUCAAUCAAACUCCGAAUAGCAGUGUAGAAAGCAGGGUAGACAGUCAUAUCGGGCUAAGCUGAUAUGGCAAAAGGGAAACAACCCAGACUUUCGUCUAAGGCCUCUAAAUUUACUUUAAGUUUAAAAGGAAGUUUCUUCCCAUAAACAGCCAGGAGGUUGGCUCAGAAGCAGCCACCCUUUAAAGAAAGCGUAACAGCUCACUGGUUGAGGGAGGGGGCGCCAAAGAUUUAUCGAGGAUUAAAAGUAAUGCCGAAGACAGAGAUGCUUGUGCUUUGCACAAGAAUUUUCAAUGUUUAAUUUUUAAUUUUCAUUGAAUUUUCAAUUAAUUAAUUUUCAAGUUUGAAAAUUGAACAAUUGAUAUUUGAUUGUAAAUUGAUAAUUGUAAAUUGGAAUUUCUCGCGCAGAGCGCGAGUGUGGUAGGGGAGCGUUCCGACUGCAGUGAAGUUGAACUGUAAGGUUUGAUGGAGCUGUCGGAAGUGAGAAUGCCGGUAUGAGUAGCGUACAAUCCCUGUGAGAAUCAGGGACACCGAAUACCCAAGGUUUCCGUCGCUAGGUUCGUCCACGACGGGUUAAUCGGUACCUAAGGCGAGGCCAUAAUUUAUGGCGUAACCGAUGGAUAACUAGUUAAAAUUCUAGUAUUUGAUUUGAAUCGUUAUUAACUGGGGGAUGACUAGAUUGGAGGAUUAAAGCCAAUUUGUGAAAUUUGGUAUAAGCUGCUAGGUAGUGCUGGUUGGAAAAUCCGCUAGCGUGAUUAAUCGAGCAGUGAUGUAAAGUCCUACGCGAGUGGGGCAAUUUUAACCCCUUCAAUCUACGAGAAAAGUCUCGCAGUGAGAGUCAAAUCAAGCCGUACCGCAAACCGACACAGGUGGGUUGGUAGAGAAUACUAAGGUGAGCGAGAGAAGGAUGUUCAAGGAAUUCGGCAAAAAAACUACCCGUAACUUCGGGAGAUGGGUUUCCUGAUGGGCGCAAGCUUGUCAGGACUCAGCUAAAGUUUACUAGUCGACUGUUUAUCAAAAACACAUGUCCCUGCAAAGUCGAAAGACACUGUAUAGGGGCUGACGCCUGCCCAGUGUUGGUAAGUUAAGCGGAUGGGUGGUACGUUCAUGCGCAAGCACUGAAUGUACUGCUUUGAAGUUAAGCUCCAAUAAACGGCAGCAGUAACUAUGAAUAAGUCGUAGUUGAGAAUGACUCACAUUUUGUGAUAUUCGUCAUUCCGUCCCGCAUUGCGGAACGAAAAAGUUGACUAUAUGCUGGAAAGUCCGUACCGUACAACUCCGAUUUAAUCGGAGCAAACGGUUGAAGUAUCUGACGUUACCAUGUAAAAUGGUGAUAAUGCGUUCAGUGCGGGCAAUCAGCAGGAAAGACCUUUCAGGAAAAAAUUUAGGAUAUUUUCUUGCAGGAUUUGUUGAAGGAGAGGGAAGUUUUAAUGUCUCUUUACGAAAAAAAGUUGACUAUAAAGUUAACUGGCAGGUUGUAAUGAGCUUUAAUGUUUCCCAAAAAGACCCUUCAAUCUUACAAGUACUUAAAAGAGAACUCGAUUGCGGGAUUAUAAAAGUCCGCAAGGAUGAUCUUUUAUAUUCGUACGAUGUAACAAAACCUCAAGAUAUAAUUCUAAGAAUAAUUCCUUAUUUUCAAAAGUUUCCUCUUUUAUCCGAAUCAAAAAGAAAGAAUUUUGCAAUUUUUUGCAAAAUUGCUCGGAUCAUGGAUGGAGGGGGACAUAAAGUCUUAUCUGGACUUCGAAAGAUUCUCGAAUUAAGAGAAUUAAUAAAUGAAGGGAAGGGUAGAACCAGAAAAUAUGGAAUUAAAGAUGUUUUUCCUGAUUAGGAAUCCUCAGAGACUAUACGUCAACCUCCGAUUAAAUUGGGGAUGAUAUAGUCCGAUCUCAUGGGCGACCAUGAGCGACGUAACCAAUCGUCUAUAUAACAACGUGAACUGUUCUACGGUAGCGAAGUUCCUUGUCGGGUAAGUUCCGACCCGCACGAAUGGCGUCACGAGCUAGUAACUGUCUUGAACAUUCACUCGGCGAAAUUGCGGUGGCUGUGAAGACGCGGCCUAAUUCCACCAGGACAAAAAGACCCCGUGGAGCUUUACUGUAGUUUGACAUUGCUUUCAUAUUUUUUGAUUGUCAAGAAUAGGAGGGAGAGAAAUCGACAGUGUGAUACCUCUCUUUGAAAAAUAUGAGGCUUACUCAAUUCCGAUGAAUACUCGGGAGGGGAAAGUGUUAGAUGGGCAGUUUUACUGGGGCGGUACCCUGCCAAAGUGUAACGCAGGGGUACAAAGGUUGGCUUACUACGGAUGGAAAUCGUAGGGAAAGCAUAAAGGUUUAAGCCAGCUUGACUGCAAGCGAGAAGUCGCGAGCAGGUGCGAAAGCAGGUCUUAGUGAUCCCCCGACUCACAAUGGGUGUGGUCGGGGCCUAACUGAUAAAAGCUACCCCGGGGAUAACAGAGUAGUCGCGCCCGAGCGUCCAUAGCGACGGCGCGGUUCGCUACCUCGAUGUCGGCUCAUCAUAUCCUGGCGCUGGAGAAGGUGCCAAGGGUCGGUCUGUUCGCCCGUUAAAAUGGUACGUGAGCUGGGUUCAGAACGUCGUGAGACAGUGAGUAGUCCAAGCGGUCUCUCUUUUAAGGCGUUUUGAUAUUCGAAGGUGGAAAUUACUUUUUGUCCAAAUUAUUAGAAUUAAAAGAUAUAAAUCUGGCUAUUUGCUGGAAAAUCUCGUUAAAUAGUUGAGUACUAGUAUAUAAUUAAUAUACCAGUGAAAAUCUCAGCUCUGAGACUAUCAGCAGGAAAGGCUAGUUCUUGAUGUCUAUUAAGGUUAGUAAUGACUAUUUUGCUGGUUUUGUUGAAGGUGAAGGAAUGUUCUACGUUGGAGUAGUUCGAUCACCCGAAACCAAAACAGGCUGGCAAGUUAUUUAUUUUUUUAAAGUAUCUCAAAAUCCAAUCGGAUUAAAAGUUUUAGAAGAACUAAAAAGCCGUUUGAAUUGCGGAUAUAUAAAAGAAAAUAGUCAAACUGAUCCAACUGACAAAUCGUUAGCAUAUAUAGUGCGCGAUUUGCCAAACUUAAGAGACAAGGUAAUUCCGUUUUUUGAAGGUAGAUUGAUUAUUAAAAGAAAUGCUUUUGAAGCAUUUAAACGUGUUUUAGAAAUUGUUAACACGAAAAAUCAUUUAACCUUAAACGGUAUUAAAGAAAUUCUUGAUAUUGCAUAUUCAAUGAAUACCAGAAAAAGAAGGGUAUCAAAGAAACAAAUAAUCAAGAGUUACAAGAAUUAGAAUCCUCACAGGCCAUACGCCAGAUCCCGAGCGACUAAAAGGAGUCGAGGGAAAGAUAUGGUCGGAUCUCUAUGGCGACAUAGAGUUAACUAUAAUGUCGGACUCUAUCCGGUGGAAUCGUUCGAGUUUUGAAGGGAGCUGGAGACAGUACGAGAGGACCUCUCUGGAGGAAUCCCUGGUGUGCCGGUUGUGACGUCAGUCGCAACGCCGGGUAGCUAUAUUCCUAAAGGAUAACCGCUGAAAGCAUCUAAGUGGGAAGCCCACCCUAAGAUUAGAACUCGUUACAGACCCCUAGAAGAAUACUAGGUUAAUCGGCUGGAAGUGGAAGACCCGUAAGGGUUUAAGCUUACCAGUGCGAAUCGGUCAAAUGACUUACGAAC
rfam:Candidatus Woesebacteria bacterium RIFOXYB1_FTLL_40_26 rifoxyb1_full_scaffold_2019, whole genome shotgun sequence.